UACGGAGGGUGCAAGCGUUAUCCGGAUUUACUGGGUUUAAAGGGCGUGUAGGCGGGCUUUUAAGUCAGUGGUGAAAUCUCCGGGCUCAACCCGGAAACUGCCAUUGAUACUAUUAGUCUUGAAUUUUGUUGAGGUAGGCGGAAUAAGUCAUGUAGCGGUGAAAUGCUUAGAUAUGACUUAGAACACCAAUUGCGAAGGCAGCUUGCUAAACAAACAUUGACGCUGAGGCACGAAAGCGUGGGGAUCAAACAGG
rnacentral:rRNA from 1 species